ACCGAAAAGGGCGACGACGGGCCCGCGCGAAAGCUCGAGGAAACCGGUGCGAAUCCGGUGCGGUCCCGCCACUGUAAUCGGGCACAUCCGAACCCGAAAGCCAGAUACUCACCGUCGGCGCCUGCUCACC
rnacentral:ncRNA from 1 species